UACGAGAGGUCCAAGCGUUGUCCGGAGUUACUGGGCGUAAAGGGUGUGUAGGGGGUCGUGUUAGUCUUUGUUUAAAUUUUUGGGCCCAACCCAAAAGCUGGCAGGGAAACGGCACGACUAGAGGACGGGAGAGGCAGAUGGAACUAAUGGUGGAGGGGUGAAAUCCGUUGAUAUCAUUGGGAACACCAAAGGCGAAGGCAAUCUGCUGGCCCGUUACCUGACCCUGAAACACGAAAGCGUGGGGAUCAAAAAGG
rnacentral:rRNA from 1 species